AGAGUUUGAUCAUGGCUCAGGAUGAACGCUAGCGGCAGGCUUAAUACAUGCAAGUCGAACGGUGGCAACACAGUGGCGGACGGGUGCGUAACACGUAUGUAAUCUACCCGGGACUGGGGAAUAACGGUUAGAAAUAAUCGCUAAUACCGCAUAAUGCAGCGGCAGCAAAAGCUGACAGUUGUUAAAGAUUUAUCGGUUCCGGAUGAGCGUGCGUUGGAUUAGGUAGUUGGUAGGGUAAUGGCCUACCAAGCCAGUGAUCCAUAGCUGGUCUGAGAGGAUGAUCAGCCACAUUGGGACUGAGACACGGCCCAAACUCCUACGGGAGGCAGCAGGCGGGCAUAUUGGUCAAUGGGCGUAAGCCUGAACCAGCCAUGCCGCGUGAACGCUGAAGGAGCAUUGCUUUGUAAAGUUCUUUUGCACAAGGAUAAAAGAAUGGUCGCCAUUCUGUGAAUUUAUUGGGUGAAUAAGCAUCGGCCAACUACGUGCCAGCAGCCGCGGUAAUAC
rnacentral:rRNA from 1 species